rnacentral:tRNA from 1 species
AUCCAGGGAUGGGAAUCGAACCCACAGUUUUCCGCUUACUGGGCAGAUGCCAUGUCCACUAGACUACCCUGGA